CUCAUACAUUGUCAAAUAAACAUUGACAGUCAGCUGUGAGUGAUAAUAUUAAAAUUCCUUUUCAUCGAACUCCCAUUGUGAACGGAAGUAAUCGCUACAUAUCAUCAACUAAUUAGUUUUUUGUCGAUUUUUUGCUUGAACAUAAAAAUUGUGCGAUUGGUAAUGGCAAAUAUUUUUGUGCAAUCCAUGUUUUUGUAAAUUGCCUCUAGAUAACAAAUAAUUAAUGUUGAUUGGUGAGACUCUAAAUUAUGAAAACU